GGGUGCGAUCAUACCAGCACUAAUGCAUCGGAUCCCAUCAGAACUACGAAGUUAAACGUGCUUGGGCGAGAGUAGUACUAAGAUGGGUGACCUCUUGGGAAGUCUUCGUGUUGCACCCC
rnacentral:rRNA from 1 species